CCGCCUGCCCUGUGACUAUUGUUUAACGGCCGCGGUACUCUGACCGUGCGAAGGUAGCGCAAUCACUUGUCUUUUAAAUGGAGACCUGUAUGAAUGGCAUAACGAGGGCUAAACUGUCUCCUUUUUCCAGUCAAUGAAAUUGAUCUCCCCGUGCAGAAGCGGGGAUAAACACAUAAGACGAGAAGACCCUAUGGAGCUUUAGACAAAAAGCAGACCAUGUUAAGCAACCCAGACAAGGGCCCAAACUUAAUGGCAGCUGCCCGACUGUCUUUGGUUGGGGCGACCACGGAGUAAAACAAAACCCCCGUGUGGAAUAGGGACAACCUCCCUUAAAACCAGAGUGACAACUCUAGUAAGCAGAAAUUCUGACCAAACAUGAUCCGGCAAAGCCGAUCAACGGACCGAGUUACCCUAGGGAUAACAGCGCAAUCCCCUUCUAGAGCCCAUAUCGACAAGGGGGUUUACGACCUCGAUGUUGGAUCAGGACAUCCUAAUGGCGCAGCCGCUAUUAAGGGUUCGUUUGUUCAACGAUUAAAGUCCU
rnacentral:rRNA from 1 species